rnacentral:rRNA from 1 species
ACACGACUACAUUAGAUACCCGUGUAGUCCUAGCCGUAAACGAUACUCGCUAGGUGUCGGCCACGGUGCGACCGUUGUCGGUGCCGUAGGGAAGCCGUGAAGCGAGCCACCUGGGAAGUACGGCCGCAAGGCUGAAAACUUAAAGGAAUUGGCGGGGAGCACCACAACGGGUGGAGCUUGCGGUUUAAUUGGAUUCAACGCCGGAAAUCUUACCGGGACCGACAGCAACAUGAAGGCCAGGCUGAAGACUUUGCCGGAUUAGCUG